rnacentral:rRNA from 1 species
AACGAACGCUGGCGGCAUGCCUAACACAUGCAAGUCGAACGAGACCUUCGGGUCUAGUGGCGCACGGGUGCGUAACGCGUGGUAACCUGCCCUUAGGUUCGGAAUAACUCCCCGAAAGGGGUGCUAAUACCGGAUAAUUUCUUCGGACCAAAGAUUUAUCGCCUUUGGAUGGGCCCGCGUUGGAUUAGCUAGUUGGUAGGGUAAAAGCCUACCAAGGCGACGAUCCAUAGCUGGUCUGAGAGGAUGAUCAGCCACACUGGGACUGAGACACGGCCCAGACUCCUACGGGAGGCAGCAGUGGGGAAUAUUGGACAAUGGGCGAAAGCCUGAUCCAGCAAUGCCGCGUGAGUGAUGAAGGCCUUAGGGUUGUAAAGCUCUUUUACCCGGGAUGAUAAUGACAGUACCGGGAGAAUAAGCUCCGGCUAACUCCGUA